rfam:Rhodnius prolixus Rhodnius_prolixus-3.0.3-10645.1, whole genome shotgun sequence.
UUAACGGCCCUUUUCAGGGCCACAAUUUUUCGACACUUGUUUUGCU